UACGUAGGGUCCGAGCGUUAAUCGGAAUUAUUGGGCGUAAAGAGCUCGUAGGCGGCUUGUCACGUCGACUGUGAAAACCCGGGGCUCAACCCCGGGCCUGCAGCCGAUACGGGCAUCACUGGAGUUCGGCAGGGGAGACUGGAAUUCCUGGUGUAGCGGUGAAAUGCGCAGAUAUCAGGAGGAACACCGGUGGCGAAGGCGGGUCUCUGGGCCGAUACUGACGCUGAGGAGCGAAAGCGUGGGGAGCGAACAGG
rnacentral:rRNA from 1 species